rnacentral:lncRNA from 1 species
UGAUACUAAACCCCUAACGGGAGGGAUUGUGCCUGAUACUCAUAUGAUGAAGACAUCAUCUUUCAAUCAGUUUAAUUGAGGUCUGGAGCUGGCAUGUCAGUUAACUGCUAGUAGUCUGUUGUUAUUUAUGUAUUAUUGUCAUUUUAUUUAUUUUCUUUUGUUACAUCUUUUGACAUCGGACUCGGACUUCUCUUGAACUGAAUUUUAAUGUGCGUAUUGUUAUGCGUUUACUUUUCUACAUUGGCUAGAGGUAUAGGGGGAGGGUUGAGAUCUCAUAAACAUGUUUAACCCCGCCGCAGUUUUGCGCCUGUCCCAAGUCAGGAGCCUCUGGCCUUUGUUAGUCUUGUAUGAUUUUUAAUUUUAGUUUCUUGUGUAUGAUUC